CCUUGGCAGGAAAACAAAUCAGUUGUGCAAGAGAUGUUGCAUUAUUGGAUAGAUUUCAAACCAAACAGGCACUGUACCAUUAAUGUCGAUCCACUAUCACAAUAUGUUACUUUCAGCCAUAAAAGAUACAUGCCCCACCUUCAAUUACUCUGUGUGCAAUGGAAUCAGCACAAUGUCUUUUCGGUCAGUCCGAUAUAUGCAGUAACAUCACAACACAACUGCUGGAGUAAAUCUGUGAUACUUUUCGUCGUAUAGUUACUGUGAAUGAUAAACUCAAGAAUCUCAACAAGAAGCUGGCACUCUGUGGGAUAGUUAUGUGGAAUGACAUACAAUAAACCAUAAAACCUAUCCAGGAGAGUCUGUGAUGUGAUAUCUUCAAAGCUUAUAGCUGGCAAGUUCAUUGAUGGAAAAUGCCAUUUAUGUGAAUACUGGAAGAAAAGUGAGCAUCUUGCGACUUGUGGCGCGACAAUUCCCUGUCGUUCGGGUGGACUCUGGAUCAAACCCCUCUUCAGCUAAGGUUCCAAUGCUCUAUUACUAUGAUCUGAUGUCUGCUGAAGUGCUGGAGCCUUGUCUAGAUGAAGAUGCCUGACUUACAUGUGUUGCGUGUGUGCUUAGAUUGUGCGGAGACCUUGGGUCUUUUUUCCGUUCUAGCUAAUGUGGGAUGGGUCUUUGGCCCGGAGACUCCAGGUGCAGAGGGAGAAUCCUUUGAGAACUGGACCCUGGAAAUUGUUUUUGCUCACUUUUGGGGCUGCAACUACUGAUUUGGCCUUUGUACGCCCAGCCUCAGUGUAUUCUUUCUCUGUGUGAGACCAGUAUCUCUCAAAGGAGGGAAUAUGGAAUGUAUGGAAGUUAAUUUGGCAGUUAUGUAGUCAAUUUAGUGGUGUAAUACAUGCAUAGGUUAUGUUGCAUGGCUCAGGUUACAGAUAAUGGUAGCAAAUCUUGAUAGGCUAGUUAAAUCACAUGAUAGAUUAGCUAAUGCUAAAGAUGAUAGUGAUGUACUGUGAUAGGUUAAGUGUAAGCAGUAGAUCAGUGUGGCAGAAGAUGAUUAGUUUAGAAAGACAAAGCAAGCUAGUAUGAUUGGUUAUGCUAAUAUCACCAGAUAAACGCGGGAACUAGAAAAGUAUAAACAGAAGAGGCUCCAAGAGGGGUGUGGGCAGUCAGGAAAGACAUUUUCUGAUUGCCACAGCUUGUGUUUGCAAAUAAAAGUUUAACUUCGUGAAGGAUUUUCUGUGUAACCUGGUAAUUUUCUCAGAGUAUUGCUUGAUCUUUCCACAACACUAACAACAAUGUUCAGAUUGGCUUCUGAGCAGGUGACCAUGGAUUGUGCAGAGCCAGUGCAGCAGAACUAUCUAACCUGUAACGAGAAAGUAUUAAAAAUUUCCUUCUCUGUC